AGUAACGGCGAGUGAAGCGGCAACAGCUCAAAUUUGAAAUCUGGCUCUUCUAGGGUCCGAGUUGUAAUUUGUAGAAGAUGCUUCGGGUGUGGCUCCGGUCUAAGUUCCUUGGAACAGGACGUCAUAGAGGGUGAGAAUCCCGUAUGUGACUGGGUGCCUUCGCCUAUAUGAAGCUCUUUCGACGAGUCGAGUUGUUUGGGA
rnacentral:rRNA from 1 species